rnacentral:lncRNA from 1 species
GGCGUUGUUGGAGAUGAUGGUUCGACCGUCGCUUGUUGUGACUUUGAAAGACAGAGCUUGUCCGUUUAGGUAAGAGUUGCUCUGCCAGUUUUGUCCCCAGUUUCUUGACAUGGAUUGCCACCCUGUUCUUGAUCCUUUGACCAUCACAGAGUGAACAUCUCCGGCUCCUCCGACGUUAGUAAUCAGAACCAGGUUGAAGUAUGAGUGUCCGUUUAUCGUAAACCUUAUUCCUCCCCUUCUCACGCAUGGCACUCUGUUAAAGCAAACCACAACAUAAUGUAAAACAGAGUAAGAUUCGGAGAAAAAAACAGAGCAGCUCUGUUUCUUGAAAUUCUUUAUUCAGUCACAUACUCUGUUUUGGGAUAAAAACAGAGUAGCUCUCUUUAGUGUAAAAGUAGGAGACUUUGAAGAAAGAUUGUACCUU